AUCUAAUAAUAAUUUCUAUUCUGGUGUUCUGCUCCCAAACAGCUGCAAAUAAAACAAAAAUGAUUAAUAGCUUUGGAUUCCUCCUACAGGAUAUUUAAGAAUAUAGUCACCGACUGCAUAAUGUGUGAAAACCUCGCCUCAUGAUCCGAACAUUAAGUACCGACUUGUCUCAUGUAUCCCUACAUGUGUUGUUACACUCCUGCUAAGUGGUGUAGUUGAAGCUUGUGUAAUGCUGUUACCUGGUUUCACUCAACCUUAAACACUCAUCAAACUGAAUUCCUUCCCAGCAUUUAAGGUGUGCCAAAACAACUUAUUGCAACACACGUGGGAGAGCGCAGCAGCAGUUCUUUCUGCGGCCACACCUUGGGCUAAAGGGAGACAAGAAAUGACGGAUAUUAAUUGCUGAUCAGCUCAGCUGCAGACUGUGGGAUUCGUGCCGACGUUCGCCCCCGCCAGGUGUGAAAUACCAGCGGAGAGAAAUAAUUAACACAACGGCAGAGCGUCGUAGGACCGAGAGGCUUUCUGCAGAACGGGAGUGGUGUUUUCAGGGCGCUCCGCUCACCGGUUCCACAGUUGCAGUGAAGGAACACUGAAGAAUGAUGCUCCAGGGUUAACCCGAUUGCAGCUGAAGGAAUCACUAUAACUUGUCUGAACAUGAAAGCGGCGCGUCGUCAACAUUUUGGGCACAUUCGUAAUGAAAACGCAGCUGGUGAUGAUGGAGACAGAAGGGAUGAUCAAACCAAAGAUUUGCCAAUAUUUGUCAACACUUUUCCUAAUUACUGUCCAGAAGCAACUUCAAGCUGAACGUAAACACAACUGGCACUGGAGGAAAUGAGCUAAGGUCCAAAUCCAGCUGACCGGAGUAGCAGUCAGCCAACCUAAAAUGCUGCACAACAGCAGAUAAGUUGGCACCAUUCCCUCUGAGGAAAAUGGUGCUUGUUGUUUUUAGAAGCAUUCAGGGACAACUCGUACACUGGAUUCUCUGUAUAUGAAAAACAACUCCAAAGUAUAAACUAUUUUCAUGCUCAAAUAUCAAUGCAAUCCCAUUGAAGGAAAUCUUGAAUGGUCAGUAUUAUGUAGAUGCAACUUCUUUGUACCUUUAUAUCAUGUUAUAAUGUGAUUCCCUCAUCAAAAACCUACCUGGAGUGUUGCCUUGAUUCUUUCAUGCAUGUUUGAGAAAUCCUUUAAUCGCCAUGGCAACCAUUCAGCUGUGCAAAAUGCCUGGUUGGACCUACCCCCGCCUUCAAGCACAAAAUUCCUCCUCGGAGUUGCAUUUUCCAAGCUUCUGAGCUUGAAACUCCUCCAGUCAGCUCCUUCAGACUAGCCAGAAAGAAUUAGCACACACCUGGUGGAACUGUACUUUAGGUGAACUCGUUAUAGGAGCCACUUCUCAGAGCAAUGCUGGUAAAAAUGUUGUUAAAGGGUAACUAGAGGAGAUAUGUUGUGAUUACUUCCUGUAGGUGGAGUCUUUGAAAAAGUAGGAGUUUCUUAAAGAAACAGAGGUCAAAUUUCAAGGAGUUUUAUUUAAGUCACAUUUCAUCUACAACAUUUUGAAGGUACUUUGUUGAUUAUGCUAUAAAAUGUCACUAUGGUCCUGGAAAAUACAUAAUAAUAUUCUCUUUAAAAAACUGAGUAUUUUCAGGUGUUUUGUCAUUUGUCCAGGAAUUAGCUGCACCUGAUUGUUCUUCAUUAAUUCAAACGAUUAAACCACAUCACCAAAUCACUGUGAAGGUACUAAACGUAAUAAAAUCAAACCUAUGGGGAAGUGAAAGUGACCGACUAAACAAAUAUGCACAUUUUUAAACUUUAGCAGGAAGUCAGUAUCCUGAGAUAAAACCUUAUAAGCCCAAAAGAUGCUAACACAGCACUUUGCUGGGAUUUCAGAAUAACGUGCAGCCAUUGAAGUGAGGCAAGAAAUGAAGAGAUGUAGAGUAUUUCAGUUCAGAUGUGAAUAAUGAACAGAGGCAGUAUGAGCUGAAAGAGACAAAGGAGGUAAAAAUACAGAUAUGGAGUAUGUAUGAAUAACCCUCUUUUUUCAUUUUACAUUCAGCGCAAUCUACCAGACACAAGAAUUUGGGUCAGAACACUUUGAAAAAGUGUGGCUAACCGAACUCCUGGCUUUCAGGAACAUCCAGGCUGAAAAUAGUCCAGCUGAAAGACGAAGUAAAUCAAUAAUGUGGGAACUCGCGCCACAUGAAACGUAUGUCGUCCUGGAAGCAAUUCCAUCCGCAUCCAGAGCCAGCUUCUGGAGAUGAAGGAAGGUCGUUACGCUGAGGCCGCUAGCUGUCAAUGCUGUGAUGCAUAUGGGCUAAUGUAUGGAAAGUAGAAGCUGUGUGAAACCGCCUUCAUUAUCUGAAGUUGAACGGGAAGUUGCCAUAUGUACGGCGGAGCAGCAAAUUGGUGGGGGAAAAGGAGGCGGAAGAUAAAAAUCCAUACACACAAUGAUACGUCUAGGGGGAAGCAAAGGCUUUUAGCUCCUUCACUUUAGCUGUCGUUUAAGUGGAAAUGUAUUGGCACCAAUCCAAACUUUUAACUCCAAUUUUACUAACCUGAAGGGAGCCUGGGACGUCAGCACUGUUGUUUUUUCCUGCUUAAACUGGAGCUAGUUUCUAAAAGGGAUGACUUGGCAGUUUCAGUAAGCAAUCAAUUUGUCUGCUGCAGGAGUUGUCGCUGCGCAGGUUCACAGAACGGAGCCGUAAUGAUUCCGGGUUCCAGACAGCAACAUUCAGGGAUCUUUGGAGGAUUUUAAAAGUCGAGGUUUUACACAGUUAACAGGGACGGCGAGGACGGGUUUCCUAUGGCUGCAAACGCGCCGCAUCAGCAGAAAAGACGGGCUGUUUAGCACAUCUUGCAAACUCAGCUGGAGAAUCGUAGGAAUCUCUUAUUAGAUGACCCAAUUCAGCAUCCAGUAGUCUUUAAGGGGGCAUUCACACCAGCCAUGUUGAGUCAAACUCUAGUUUGUUUGUCUAAAAAGUCCGGUUCAUUUGGGGAGGUGUGAAUGCAUUGUCAAACUUUGGUUGGACCAAUCUCUGGUCCACCUAAAAACCUAAGUUCUGGUUUGGUUGAAGUGAACUCUGGUGCGGUCGGAAUGCAUAUGCGAAUGUAAGUAGACCAGAGUCCGCUCCAAAAGCAGGAAGCGGACAAUGGUGCAUGGCAUUCUGGGUAAGUACACCCAAAUCAAACGCAUGAGUUUAGCACUAGAGGGAGAAAUGACUUGUGGUCUUCAGUCAAAGACAACAGGGAAAUCCUACGACCGUUAAAAUCGGUCACCACUCCAUUUGGGUUUGGUUAGUUUGACACAGAAAACGUAACAAAUGUUCCAGUUCUGGUCCCCAAUCGAACUGAGUCUACCGGACUAACAGGUGCGAAAACACCGCAAGAUUGAGGUUAUUUUUGUGAACUAAAAGUUUUUAGAUUUCUUUGUUUUUGUGGCACUUCACCAGAAUUUUGUGAAAUUUACCCCACGACACACUACAGGCAAAGUAGUGUGUGGUCAUAGUACAUAAGUGAUAUCAAAAAUAUUCAUCACGUUACUUAAAACUUAUAAGAAAUAAACUUCAAUUGCCUCCCCGACACGUUUCCAGAAUGGUGUGCAGCUGAAAGGAUCCAGCGGCUGGCAGAGCCACACACAAACACCAGCAGAGAGACAGGCAGUCAUUACUCCUACAGCGCCGGUGAUCAACACUAAUUAUCGUCUUUGACCAGGGGAGGACCGUCUUCCAAUGUGUCCCUCGCCGAUGACAGUUCAUUACUCACCAGCAGCUAAGACCAGAGGGGGCCCAGCUGUCAGGAAUUAGAGCAGAAAUCUGCUCCUGAAACUUUACUACCUGAAGAACGUCAAAAAUAAAACCACACACACACACGCACCCCCCCCCCCACCCACCCACACACACACACACACGCACACCCACACCCCCACACACACACACCGUGUUACAGAAGUGGCUGCUCCCUCACAUCUACAGCAUCAUGGCAAGGUAAUAAAAACCUGAGGAUUUUCAGUUUUGGACUCAUUACACCCACUAACUUCAUGUGUCUUACUGGGAUUUAACGCGGUAAAGAUCAACACCAGGUAGCACAAAAUCUACAUGUAUUUUGCAAAACUGCAAUGAAAACACUUUUUUUUCCCCCCGUUUUUUUUCCGCUACUACUGGCGAAGAAGACGACAGGAAGUGAUUGGAGGAUGACGGUUUGUUUUAGAUGUUUUCAAAGUGCAGCUGGAUCCACCAGAGCUCUCACAGCUUCACACAGUUCAGAAAAAGUUGCGUCAUUCCAGCAUGUUGAAUCCACAGCUCUUCUGUAAAAUUAACUACAAUUUUCACAAAACAGCAUACAUAGCCACUCCCAAGUAGGCGGAGCUUGUCGCUCCAACGCCUGAAUGAGACGCAGACGAUGCCUCUGAUUGGCUGAUAGAUGAUGAAUGCUAGCUCCAUGACUGAAUUAUAAAUAUGUCUCAUGUAACUGUUUACAUCUGUCGCUGCCAUGACUUUUAAUGACUUAUCCCAUGAACAAGCUUAUUCACAAGUGAUUUUAAUUCCAUUUCAUAUUUAAUGGAAAUGUUGCAUUUGCAAAAUUGUGUUUUUUCGACAUUAGCAUAAUACUGACAAAGCGUGGUGCACAUUUGGUGCACAAAGCUUGGAACAUUUUAAAGUGUAGUUUGCUUUUGUUGUGCUCCUUUCUCUUUCUUUUUUAGUCUUUGUUGUUUUGUUUGUACUUAUUCUAAUUCAUGUAAAACACCCUGAACUGCCUUGUUGCUGAAAAUGUGCUAUAUAAAUAAAAUUACUGUACCUUACAUUUGUCAUGGAAACGCAGUUAAUGUCUCUGGGGCGGCUACUCUGUCACUCUAUCCACCUGCUGCUCUGCACAUGCAUACAUAUUUUUUCCUUUUUUAUAUUCAUAUUUUAUUCCAUAGUUUUGCAUUCAUACAUCAAAACUAUUUCCUAGCCUGUUAACUUGUUUACAAUGGCGAUAAAAAUGAUUUUGACUCUGAAAGUCUAAAGAAUUUGUGUCCAGGAUGUGUGGGGUCUGCAUAGAUGUUAGCUGUCCUUUUCUUUUCUGACCCUGCAUGUUCUGUUACAUUUCUCGAUGGAGGGAAUUUCAAGAAAGAGCAGAGCAGGAAAACACAUUGAAGUGCUUCUUUUGUAGCUCACAGAAAUGACUCCGGUUUGUGAUUGGAUAUGACAUAAUGUAAAAAGGUCAAAGGGCGUACAAACCUCCAGAGACUGGUUUCCUGAAUGUUGGAAGGGGGAAAACAGUGUUUGUAGUAACUCUUAUCUACUAUACAUUCUACAGAGAACACUGUUAUCGGAUAAGAACAACUAAAAGUCUGCUUUUCAGAAUAAAGUCAGAAAUUGUAUUCAGUUGAGUUUUAGACUAGAGUAUUUGACAUUUGACAACUCCUAAUCUGCAGAUGCCAAAUAUUUACGUGAUUGAUUCCUGCAGCUUUUUGGUGAGGAUUUGAAACGAGGCUGUGAAAUGAAGAACCGGAGCAUUGAGAUUACUCAGAGGAAAAAAAAAAGAAAAACAACAAAAAAACUAUCAUCCCAGGAGAGGAUGACGGUUCACCAGCAGGUCAGACGGUGCACAGCUCAGAGAUGUUGCAAAACACUUAUGAUCUACAUCGCCGAUUCAAGAGGCCUCCGUAACUGAGAUGAGUGUUAAAGUUCACGGCAGGACGGUUAGGAAAGGGCUGGAGCGGUUUCCACGACAACAACAUGGAAGCACAGCUUAGGAGUUUGAUCCGAGUGUGAUAUUAAUACACGGCAGCAUAUUUGAUUGAAAAACUAUUUCAUGUGCAGAAUUUCUCCUGCACAUAGAAUCUAAAGUAAGCAUGUUUGUUGAAAAAGUUUUGAUUUA